rnacentral:lncRNA from 1 species
UUGGUCAAUGCUCACAUGAUCCAUUCUGCCAUGGAUAUUAGGAGUCCCAAUGUACAGUGCCUCAUGGCUAUGCCUUACAAGCGCAAGCACAUAGAGAACCUGCGUUCGGCAAUGGAGGACCUGAGUCCCUGCACAUCAAGAGACAGAAAGGAGCUCUUCGUGAGAGCAAAUUCCAUCGGAGAAACUGACGGCAGGUAUGGUCUGGCACAGUACCUUGUUGAGAAGCUGCUGUCAAGCGGAGGAGGAGCACUUCCUACCAUUCAGGCCCUCGAACUCAAGACUCUGAUAGGUGCGGGGGCAUUUGGUUCCGUGUACAGGGCUGAAUGGCUGGGGGCACCAGUUGCUGUGAAAGAGUUUAAGAGCGGUGAUGCUUCAUUCGACAAGGAGGUGAACAUCCUGAAAGAACUUAUUUCAGAACCGCACCCGAGCGUGCUCCAAAUGAUAGGAUACUAUCAGAAGGAUGAGAAGGCUUACCUUGUCAUGGAGCUGAUGGAAAGAGAUUUGGCCAACGUUAUAAGGAAGACUCGAGGUUCGCUGCAACUUUUAACUUCUAUAGACAUCAUGCUCCAGAUUGCGAGCGGCAUGAGCUACCUCCAUCAAAAGAAUGUGGUUCAUCGAGACCUCAAGCCUUCGAAUAUCCUGGUUAAGACACAGAACCAUGCCUGCACCACCUGUUCCAACGUGAGGUUAACAGACUUCGGAGUCUCAAAGUCGAACUUUAUAAGCUUUGCACCGGACUUGUCUUACCAGAGGGGGACGAUCCAAUACAUGGCUCCAGAGAUGCUGAGGGGUCAGAAGUACUCCAGAGAAGUUGACGUGUACAGCUUUGGAAUUACUUGCUUCCAGAUCCUGACUGGAACGCUGCCAUUUCAGGACGAUGGCAAGCAGCUGGUGGCAGAUAAACUGGUCGAGACGAUCGAAGAUGGAAAUAGGCCCGACCUUCCAACAGGCUGUCCACUGGAGCUGGUUGCUCUCCUCAACAGGUGCUGGAACAGGAAUCCGAAAGAUAGACCAACCUUCGAACACAUAUCCAG